rnacentral:rRNA from 1 species
AUGUUCAGAAUUCAGACUCCACAUACUACCAAAACAACGGAAUCAUGCCACAGAAUAAGCAGAAACGGUGCCCAAAUUUUCAAAGCAACAUAUACCUGUAGCUCCUACUGCGGCUCCUGCUGUAGCUCCUAUCACGCACCCUUCCACGGCGAGGAGAUGGAGAUCUGGAGUAACUCUUUCCACGCCUGUUUUCAUCAACACAACUUAAGUCAGAUAUGCUCUACUUAUAAAACAGAAAAGACAAACUCGCAGGGCAUACUUGAGGUUCUUAGGGCUGUUCUGGCAAUCCCUUUCUAUGUGGCCACUAUCUCCACAACGAUAGCACCUAUUUUUCCAGUCGCCAGCUUUGCAGUCACGAGCCCAAUGCCCAUCAAUCCCACAGUUAAAGCAACGGCCAGAACCAGGAGGAGGUCCCCGACCCAUAUAUUCACGGUCACCGCCACGGCCACGGUCACGGUCACCUCCUCCUCCUUGGCCACGCGGAACCUAUAA